rnacentral:rRNA from 1 species
CCAAGGUAUUGCUCAGUACGGCGAGUGAGCGGCAAAAGCUCAAAUUUGAAAUCUAGCACCUUCGGUGUUUGAGUUGUAAUUUGAAGAUGGUAACCUUGGGUUUGGCUCUUGUCUAUGUUCCUUGGAACAGGACGUCAUAGAGGGUGAGAAUCCCGUCUGAUGAGAUGCCCAUUCCUAUGUAAGGUGCUAUCGAAGAGUCGAGUUGUUUGGGAAUGCAGCUCUAAGUGGGUGGUAAAUUCCAUCUAAAGCUAAAUAUUGGCGAGAGACCGAUAGCGAACAAGUACAGUGAUGGAAAGAUGAAAAGAACUUUGAAAAGAGAGUGAAAAAGUACGUGAAAUUGUUGAAAGGGAAGGGCAUUAGAUCAGACUUGGUGUUUUACGAUUAUCUUCUCUUCUUGAGUUGUGCACUCGUAUUUCACUGGGCCAGCAUCGAUUCGGAUGGCAAGAUAAUGGCAGUUGAAUGUGGCUUCACUUCGGUGGAGUGUUAUAGCUUCUGCUGAUAUUGCCUGUCUGGAUCGAGGGCUGCGUCUUUUGACUAGGAUGCUGGCGUAAUGAUCUAAUGCCGCCCGUCUUGAAACACGGACCAA